GCGCCUGUAGCUCAGUUGGAUAGAGCAGCGGCCUUCUAAGCCGCGGGUCGGGGGUUCGACUCCCUCCAGGCGCG
rnacentral:tRNA from 1 species